UGUCGUCAGCUCGUGUCGUGAGAUGUUCGGUUAAGUCCGCUAACGAGCGCAACCCUCGCUGUGUGUUACAAGUGUCACACGGUACUGCCGGUCUUAAGCCGGAGGAAGGUGGGGAUGACGUCAAGUCAGCAUGGCCUUUAUGUCCUGGGCUACACACACGCUACAAUGGCCAACACAAUAGGUUGCUAAGCCGCGAGGUGGAGCCAAUCCUCAAAGUUGGUCUCAGUUCAGAUUGCAGGCUGCAACCCGCCUGCAUGAAGAUGGAGUUGCUAGUAACCGCAGGUCAGCUAUACUGCGGUGAAUACGUUCCCGGGGCGUU
rnacentral:rRNA from 1 species